AAGCACGGCUUCGCAGCGCGCAGACAGGGAGCUUGCUCCCAGAGAUGCUGCGAGGAAAGUCCCCAGUGCCUUGGUCGUGCGCAGAGAGUGCCUUGGUGCAGAGAGUGUUAGUGGGAGACCGCACGGCUCGUGCUAGGAGUGGGAGACCGCAGGGCUCGUGCCAAACCUCCAGUGGUGAUGCUUUUCGCUGAGCCUUGGUGGCUGGCUCGGGCCCUUCGCAGCAGCAACCUCCAGUGGUGAUGCUUCUCGCGGACAGACGACCUUCGUGGCGGGCUCGGGCCCUUCGCAGCAGCACAGACAUGCCGCGAGCGCUUGUGACUGGAGCGCCAACACAACGGGGCUCACUCUCC
rnacentral:RNase_MRP_RNA from 14 species